rnacentral:lncRNA from 1 species
GUCUGAUUCAUCUGAAAAUUUCAGGGCAGAUAGAUCUUGACCUGAUAAACAAUAUUACCCCAUGUCAGAUUUGCUCUAAAUGCUUUGGUUUUUGAGUUAUAAGCCAAAAACUGCAUUUGACCCCUAUGUUCUAUUUUUAGCAAUGGCAACCAUGUUUGUUGAUAGAUCAAAACUUCGGAUACAAUUUAUAAAUUAGAUACCCUAAGGAACAUUCAGUUAAAGUUUGAAAGUAUUUGGCCCAGUAGUUUCAGAGGAGAAGAUUCUUGAAAUAGUUUACGACAACAGACGACGACGACGGACGACGACGGACGCCAAGUGAUGGCAUAAGCUCACUUUGAGCUAAUAAAAAUGCAGACAGAGAUUACAACUAAAAAAAAAUGCAGGACAAAAUUUUUCAUCCUAGCCCCCCCAUAAAAAUCAAAUGGUAGCUCCCUAACGUACAUCAUAUCACGAUUUCAAAGCGUUCAACAUCGAUUUCAAACAAAUGCUUUGAAACUCUAAAUGCAAGUGUUCAUGUCAAACGCUCACGUGAUACCAAACAGACUAGACGUUAUACGAUAAAGGUAAAACCCGAGGAUUCCGGUAAAAAAAAGUUUUGAGCGGGAAAUACAAAUAUAAGAUUUUUGGUAGGAACGAAAACAUAAAAUAAAAUAAAAUCUUGCUGGUAAAUACAAAUAAAAGAUUUUCAGGCGGAAUGAAUUUAUAGGGUCGGUCGGUAAAGGGCAAACAAACAAUAUUUUAAUUUAAGCCUUAACUUGAGGAAU